GAUGAACGCUGGUGGUGCGCCUAACACAUGCAAGUCGAACGUGAUCUACAUUUUGAAUUUAUUCAUACCGUAGUGAAAGUGGCGAACGAGUGAGUAACACGUAGGAAUCUGCCCCGAACUCAGGGAUAACUCGGUGAAAGUCGAGCUAAUACCGGAUAGUCUCGUAAGAGUAAAGCUUUUGCGGUUCGGGAGGAGCCUGCGGCCUAUCAGCUAGUUGGUGAGGUAAAAGCUCACCAAGGCAACGACGGGUAGCUGGUCUGAGAGGAUGACCAGUCACGAUGGGACUGAGACACGGCCCAUACUCCUACGGGAGGCAGCAGUGAGGAAUCUUCCGCAAUGGACGAAAGUCUGACGGAGCGACACCGCGUGAAGGAUGAAGGCCCAUGGGUCGUAAACUUCUUUUCUGAGGGAAGAAGAUCUGACGGUACCUCAGGAAUAAGCCCCGGCUAAUUACG
rnacentral:rRNA from 1 species